CGGAGGUGAAGCUCACCUGGGCCCUCUCCAGCAGGUGUGCCCAGGUCACCUGAUCAGGAGUCCCCAGCUGCUGCUCUGCCUGGAGACAGGCCGACGGCUCUGGAAGGAGGGAGGCAUUUUAAGCGGCGGGUCUGCGGUGCCAGGGGGAGUCACGGGAUAGCUAGUGUGUCUCUGGCUCUGUUCUCAAAGCCCAGGAUCCCGGCAGCAGCAGGAAUGCAGCACACUUAUGCGUGAAGACGAGAUCUUUCGAGCUGACUGGAGCAGUUUGGUCAGAACAGAAUCUCUGUAUGGAAUGUGCAAGACCUUCUUCCCCAUAGCUGCGUCAGCCAGAACACUGAAAGAAAAAGAAGAUUCAAGACAGAAAAAGAAUGCCUCAAGAAGAAAUCCACCUCCCGUGGGAUGAGUUGGAAAUGGCUCCCACAUCCCCUCUUUGGCCCCAUAAGCCUGACGAUCAUAUCCAACAGUAGAGAUGCCUUCUGUCAUCGAUGCUGGAGUAAGCUAGCUAACCACGGGCCUGACUCCUCCGAAAUCAACCGUAGAGAAGCCAUAACCUAGAGGAGGAAGCCCAGGUCUGAGGAACAAACACACCCACACCUGCGAGGAAAACUCGAAGAGCCUGCAGGCUACCAUAGUUUGUGUGUAGAGAAUGAGCUGCAAUUCAAGGAAGGAGGUGCCAGGCCUGACAGUGUGCAGAUAGGUUUGGGGGGUAGUUUUAGGGUCUUUUCUUGCCUCUCUCUCUCAUGCUGCCUUAAGAUCCCAUAAAGUUAGGACCACAGCCUCAGGAUAGGGGUGAGUGAGAAGCCCCUGCCCUGCUCCAGGGGCCACAAAGAAAGCAGUGUUGGCACUGAAGAGAGCGGGGAAGAGUGCAGGGAAAUCCCACCCGUGAGAAAUUAUAACCACAAACAGGACGGGCACGGUGGCUCAGCCUGUAAUCCUGUAAUCCCGGCACUUCAGGAGGCUGAGGUGGGCAGAUCACUUGUGGUCAGGAGUUCAAGACCAGCCUGGCCAACAUGAUGAAACCCCGUCUCUACUAAAAAUACAAAAAAAUUAGCCGGGCGUGGUGGUGCGUACCUGUAGUCCCAGCUACUCGGGAGGCUGAGGCAGGAGAAUCCUUUGAACCCAGGAGGCGGAGGUUGCAGUGAGCCAAGAUUGUGCCAUUGCAUUCCAGCCUGGGUAGGGACUCCGUCACAAAAAAAAAAAAAAAAAAAAAAAUCACUACUCCAUAAAGUCAUGAAGGCCAAGGGCUUCCAAAGAGGAGGAAAAGAAAUAGGUUUACACUCGGAUGCAACAACAUAGUGAAACUGGAGAACACCAAAAACAAAGAGAAAAACUUAAAAGCAGCUGGGGAAAAAAGACAGAUUAUCUUCAAGAAAAAGCAGUUAGACAACCAGUUGACAAUAGAAUUCUUUCUGUGUGGAAAGAAACUACUACCCAUCUAAAAUUCCAUACCCAGCAAAAAUGUCUUUUUAAGAAUGAGCCGGCUGGGCGCGGAGGCUCACAUUUGCAAUCCCAGCACUUUGGGAGACCAAGACGGGAGCAUAGCUUGAGCUUAGGAGUUUGAGACCAGCCUGGGCACCGUGGAGAAACCCUGUCUCUACAAAAAAAUACAAAAAUCAUCUGGAUGUGGUGGAACACGCCUGUGGUCCCAGCUACUUGGGAGGCUGAGGUGAGAGGAUUGCUUGAGCCUGGUGGGGUAGAGGCUGGAGUGAGCUGUGAUUGUACCACUGCACUCCAGCUUGGGUGACAGAGUGAGACCCUGUCUCAAAAAAAUAAAUGAGGUAAAAAUAAAGAUAUUUCAACCUAACAAAAACAGAUUGCCACCAGCAGAUUAUCACUAAAGGAAACCCUGAAUAAUACACUUCAACCAGAAGGAAACUGAUCUUGGAUAGCAGCUCUGAGGUACAAGAAUGAAUACAUUUAAAAAAAGAUAAAUGUGAAUGAACACUGUGUAAAACAGUGAUAAUGUCUUUUGGGUGAAGGAAGAAUGGAAUUGAAAUACAUAAGAAAGAAAUACAUAACAAUGACAUAUGUAGGAUGAAGAGUCUUGUAUUAUCCAGGAGGAUUUAUUACAUUUAGACUUUGACCACAGAUUUAAGAGCCAAGAAACAGAGUUAAGUAUAUAUUAGCCGGGCACAGUGGCUCACACCUGUAAUCCCAGCACUUUGGCAGGCCGAGGAGGGAGAAUCACUUGAGCCCAGGAGUUCGAGAUCAACCUGGGCAACGUGGUGAAACCCCAUCUCUACAAAAGCUACAAAAAUUAGCUGGGCAUGGUGGUGCACGCUGUAAUCCCAGCUACUCAGAAGGCCGAGGCGGGAAGAUCGGUUGAGCCUGGAAGGCAGAGGUUGUAGUGAAUGGAGUUCGCGCCAUUGCACUCCAGUCUGGGUGACAGAGCAAGACUCUGUCUCAAAAAAAAAAAAGCGAAAAGCAUAUAGACGAUCACUGGGGGAAGGAGGGACUACUCAACAAAUGAAACUGGAAAGAUUGGUAAUCUAUAAGGAAAAAGGAUGAAAAGGAUGCCUACCUUACAUCAAACACAGAAAUCAACUCCGGACCGAUAGGAACUUAAUGUAAUAUAGGUGGUUACCUUUCUAACUCUAAUUUUCUUAAACAGGAAACAAAUGCAAAGCAUAAACCAUAAUCAUAACUUCUGCUCAUCAGCAAACACCUUAAAGUGGAAAGACAAGCUACUAACUGGGAGAGAUACUUACAAUACUUUUACUUGAGAAAAGAAUAAUAUGUAAAGAAUGCCUACAAGCCAAUACAAAGGCAAUGACUCAAGAGAAUAAUAGAAAAAAAUAACAGGCAUUGCAAGAGGAAAUAUAUUGCUAAGAAACACAUAAAGAUGCUUAAACUCGUUAGUAACCAGGAAUAUCAAGACCAUAGUAAGAUUUAUUUGCACCAAUUUAAUUGGUAAAUAUAAAGAAAUCUGAUAACAUCAAGUCUUAGAAAAGAUGUAGAUCAAUCCGAUAUCUAAUACAUUGCUGCUGGGAAUGUAAAUUGGUCCAACUAUUUUGGAAAAGUUUGUUAACAUCUUUCCAAAUUGGGUAUUCAU
rnacentral:lncRNA from 1 species